AUGUCGUCCCCGCCGCCCACGCCUGGAAGGGAGGAGAUCGCCGGCGCCAAGGCGUCGCGUCCGCUCGCUGCGGACAUCACCGGCGCAGGGGGAAACGCCGGAGGUGUCGUCGAGGCAAGCCAAGCAGCGUCCGGCGGUAAGGCCAAGGCGACGCCGUCGCCGGCGACUAUCUGCCCUUGCUGCACGGAGCCCUGGACUAGCGACGGCCCUCAUCGCAUGUGUUGCAUUCCUUGUGGGCAUGUGUAUGGCAGAUCUUGUAUGGAGACGUUGCUGCAUCGUUCUGGCCAGAAUAGUGCCAAGUGCCCGCAGUGUGGCAAACAAUUCGAGGAGAAGCUUAUUAUCAACCUCUAUGCACCAGAAAACAUGUUGAAGGGUUGCUGCAGUGCUGAGGAAAUUAAAGCGUUUUACGAACAUAUAUUUGUUGCAGUAAGGGCGACAUGUAUUGAGAUUCAACAAUGGUUUAGAGAACGGGUUGCUCAGAUGGAGAUAAUAGUGAACAAAAAGGUGACAAUGGCUAAGGCCAACGUGGUAUUAAUGAAGGAGCGAUUGAAGAAGAUGGCUGAACAAGAAAAGAUGGUGCCAAAGGAUAUGAUAGUGUUCAUGGAGCAGAAUUGCCCUCAGCUGAUGAUUUGUGUGUCGUGCGUGUUCUCAUCCUUACCAGCAUCUGGUAUGGAAGGCGGGGACGAGAUUGCCAAUGUUGAAAUUAUUGUCAGAGAGGGGCCAUGUCCCCAUGCUGUGGAAGCUAGUGAACGGGGUGGCAGAGGCAAUGAGUUAAAUCAUACUGUAUCUGGUUUGGGCGAGGAGAUCGACGGCUCAUACAGAGACAGUAGCUACUUUGGCGAAUAUAAUGCGAACAUCUCCAACAAAGAAGCAAAUAGGAUGCUGGUAAGUGCGAACAUGGAUGCUUCAGCUGAAGGGGGGAAAUGCAUUGAUGUCAAGGCACCAGCACGGCCAACCUGCUCUAUCUACGUGGAGCCGUGGACCUCCACGGACGAGCAUCACAUCUGUUGUAUUCCUUGCGGGCAUGUCUACGGCAGGUCGUGCUUAAGAAGGUGGCUCAGGGAUCAGCUUUCAAGGAAUGAGAAUCUGAAGUGCCCUCAAUGUGCGGAAGAACUCAAAGGCAAUCUUAUCGACCUCCAUGCACCAUUGUGUCAGGAAGUGCAUGAGUAUUAUGAAGCUAAGUUGGCUGAGUUUGAGGCAUCGAGGGAAGAAUGUAUGCUAUUUGCAAAAUAUCAUUAUCAGUAUGACCUGCUAAGUGCACAAGCGAAGUUUCGGGAUGAGCUGCGUGCACUAAUUAGACCUGAAAUUGCUGAGAUUGAAAGAGUGAUGAUGGAACACGUGGCAAAGGCUAACGGUAGCUUGGUGUUGAUGAAGGAGCAGAUCAAGAAGAUGGCUGAAGAAGACAUGGCGACAACGGAGCAUCUCAUUGGAUACUUGGAACAGACUUGCCAUUGCCCUUGUCUUUUUCCUACCCUACCCAAGCUACCCAUAUGA
rnacentral:rRNA from 1 species